AGUGUGGAUCCAGCAUGGAUGUCAUGACACAGUCUUGAGAAAGCAGCCUCAAACAGUUAUCCUUUCAAAGUCUCCCCCUCCUGGAAAGCACCCAAGUGAAUAUGAGCACCACCGGAUCAUAACUCCAGAUAUUGAGAAAAUCAUGAAUACAGAAAAUGUAUGGCCAAUGUGAUGAUAACAAGAAGCUCCAGAGACAUCAUGAAGGGAGUCAUUUCAAACAUCCCCCACAGGAGAAGCAAAAGGAGACUGAGCAGCUCUGGUUCCAAAGGUAGAAAGACCCUUAUAUGCUGAUGUAUCUGAUCGAUACCUCAAGGCUGUCUUCUGUGCAGGAAGUCGCAAGUUUGUGUUCUGGUGCCCUCUUUUAAGUUUAUUGUUGGUGACUGUGAUGACCUGUAUUACACUUUUUUAGCCACAAUGUAAACAAGAUGCAACUUGGAAACUGUUUUUAAUAGACUUUUGAAUUUGAGAUGACUCAUGGCAGA